AGAUUGAACGCUGGCGGCAGGCCUAACACAUGCAAGUCGAGCGGCAGCACGGGUACUUGUACCUGGCGGCGAGCGGCGGACGGGUGAGUAAUAUAUCGGAACGUGCCCAGUAGCGGGGGAUAACUACGCGAAAGCGUGGCUAAUACCGCAUACGCCCUACGGGGGAAAGGGGGGGAUUCUUCGGAACCUCUCACUAUUGGAGCGGCCGAUAUCAGAUUAGCUAGUUGGUGAGGUAAAGGCUCACCAAGGCGACGAUCUGUAGCUGGUUGAGAGGACGACAGCCACACUGGGACUGAGACACGGCCCAGACUCCUACGGGAGCAGCAGUGGGAAUUUGGACAAGUGGGAACCUGAUCCAGCAUCCGCGUGUGCGAUAGAACGGCCGUUCGGGUUAGUAAAGCGUACGUUUUGGCCGUAGGAACGUAACGGACGUUACCCGUUAAGUACGGGCGU
rnacentral:rRNA from 1 species